rnacentral:rRNA from 1 species
UACAGGGGGGGCAAGCGUUGUUCGGAAUUACUGGGCGUAAAGGGCCAGUAGGCGGCCAACUAAGUCACACGUGAAAUCCCUCGGCUUAACCGGGGAACUGCAUCUGAUACUGGAUGGCUUUGAGUUUCGGGAGAGGGAUGCGGAAUUCCAGGUGUAGCGGUGAAAUGCGUAGAUAUCUGGAGGAACACCGGUGGCGAAGGCGGCAUCCUGGACCGGCACUGACGCUGAGGAGCGAAAGCCAGGGGAGCAAAACGGGG